GAGUUUGAUCUUGGCUCAGAUUGAACGCUGGCGGCAGGCCUAACACAUGCAAGUCGAGCGGAUGAAGAGAGCUUGCUCUCUGAUUCAGCGGCGGACGGGUGAGUAAUGCCUAGGAAUCUGCCUGGUAGUGGGGGACAACGUUUCGAAAGGAACGCUAAUACCGCAUACGUCCUACGGGAGAAAGCAGGGGACCUUCGGGCCUUGCGCUAUCAGAUGAGCCUAGGUCGGAUUAGCUAGUAGGUGAGGUAAUGGCUCACCUAGGCGACGAUCCGUAACUGGUCUGAGAGGAUGAUCAGUCACACUGGAACUGAGACACGGUCCAGACUCCUACGGGAGGCAGCAGUGGGGAAUAUUGGACAAUGGGCGAAAGCCUGAUCCAGCCAUGCCGCGUGUGUGAAGAAGGUCUUCGGAUUGUAAAGCACUUUAAGUUGGGAGGAAGGGCAGUAAGUUAAUACCUUGCUGUUUUGACGUUACCAACAGAAUAAGCACCGGCUAACUUCGUG
rnacentral:rRNA from 1 species